UACGUAGGGUGCAAGCGUUGUCCGGAAUCAUUGGGCGUAAAGCGCGUGUAGGCGGUUCGGUAAGUCCGCUGUGAAAGUCGGGGGCUCAACCCUCGGAUGCCGGUGGAUACUGUCGGACUAGAGUACGGAAGAGGCGAGUGGAAUUCCUGGUGUAGCGGUGAAAUGCGCAGAUAUCAGGAGGAACACCGAUUGCGAAGGCAGCUCGCUGGGACGUUACUGACGCUGAGACGCGAAAGCGUGGGGAGCAAACAGG
rnacentral:rRNA from 1 species